rnacentral:rRNA from 1 species
AGAGUUUGAUCCUGGCUCAGAUUGAACGCUGGCGGCAGGCCUAACACAUGCAAGUCGAGCGGAAACGAGUUAUCUGAACCUUCGGGGAACGAUAACGGCGUCGAGCGGCGGACGGGUGAGUAAUGCCUAGGAAAUUGCCCUGAUGUGGGGGAUAACCAUUGGAAACGAUGGCUAAUACCGCAUAAUGCCUACGGGCCAAAGAGGGGGACCUUCGGGCCUCUCGCGUCAGGAUAUGCCUAGGUGGGAUUAGCUAGUUGGUGAGGUAAGGGCUCACCAAGGCGACGAUCCCUAGCUGGUCUGAGAGGAUGAUCAGCCACACUGGAACUGAGACACGGUCCAGACUCCUACGGGAGGCAGCAGUGGGGAAUAUUGCACAAUGGGCGCAAGCCUGAUGCAGCCAUGCCGCGUGUGUGAAGAAGGCCUUCGGGUUGUAAAGCACUUUCAGUCGUGAGGAAGGUAGUGUAGUUAAUAGCUGCAUUAUUUGACGUUAGCGACAGAAGAAGCACCGGCUAACUCCGUGCCAGCAGCCGCGGUAAUACGGAGGGUGCGAGCGUUAAUCGGAAUUACUGGGCGUAAAGCGCAUGCAGGUGGUUUGUUAAGUCAGAUGUGAAAGCCCGGGGCUCAACCUCGGAAUAGCAUUUGAAACUGGCAGACUAGAGUACUGUAGAGGGGGGUAGAAUUUCAGGUGUAGCGGUGAAAUGCGUAGAGAUCUGAAGGAAUACCGGUGGCGAAGGCGGCCCCCUGGACAGAUACUGACACUCAGAUGCGAAAGCGUGGGGAGCAAACAGGAUUAGAUACCCUGGUAGUCCACGCCGUACACGAUGUCUACUUGGAGGUUGUGGCCUUGAGCCGUGGCUUUCGGAGCUAACGCGUUAAGUAGACCGCCUGGGGAGUACGGUCGCAAGAUUAAAACUCAAAUGAAUUGACGGGGGCCCGCACAAGCGGUGGAGCAUGUGG